rnacentral:rRNA from 1 species
GAUGAACGCUGGCGGCGUACUUAACACAUGCAAGUCGAACGGAAAGGCUCCUGCUUGCAGGGGUACUCGAGUGGCGAACGGGUGAGUAACACGUGGGUGAUCUGCCCUGCACUUCGGGAUAAGCCUGGGAAACUGGGUCUAAUACCGGAUAGGACGAUGGUUUGGAUGCCAUUGUGGAAAGUUUUUUCGGUGUGGGAUGAGCUCGCGGCCUAUCAGCUUGUUGGUGGGGUAAUGGCCUACCAAGGCGUCGACGGGUAGCCGGCCUGAGAGGGUGUACGGCCACAUUGGGACUGAGAUACGGCCCAGACUCCUACGGGAGGCAGCAGUGGGGAAUAUUGCACAAUGGGCGCAAGCCUGAUGCAGCGACGCCGCGUGGGGGAUGACGGCCUUCGGGUUGUAAACUCCUUUCGCUAGGGACGAAGCGCAAGUGACGGUACCUGGAGAAGAAGCACCGGCUAACUACGUG